rnacentral:rRNA from 1 species
AGAGUUUGAUCCUGGCUCAGGAUGAACGCUGGCGGCGUGCUUAACACAUGCAAGUCGAACGAUUAAAGCCCCUUCGGGGGUGUAUAGAGUGGCGAACGGGUGAGUAACACGUGAGCAACCUACCUUCUGUUCUGGGAUAACUUGAGGAAACUCAAGCUAAUACCGGAUAUUCCGUCUGCUCCGCAUGGUGCGGCUGGGAAAGCGCAUACGACAGAAGAUGGGCUCGCGUCCCAUUAGCUAGUUGGUAGGGUAAUGGCCUACCAAGGCGAUGAUGGGUAGCCGGGUUGAGAGACCGACCGGCCACAUUGGGACUGAGACACGGCCCAAACUCCUACGGGAGGCAGCAGUGGGGAAUUUUGCGCAAUGGGCGAAAGCCUGACGCAGCAACGCCGCGUGCGGGAUGAAGGCCUUCGGGUUGUAAACCGCUUUCAGUAGGGAAGAUUAUGACGGUACCUACAGAAGAAGCUCCGGCUAACUACGUGCCAGCAGCCGCGGUAAUACGUAGGGAGCAAGCGUUAUCCGGAUUCAUUGGGCGUAAAGCGCGCGUAGGCGGCUUAUUAAGUCAGGUGUCAAAUCUGAGGGCUCAACCCCCAGCCGCACCUGAAACUGGUAGGCUCGAGUUCGGUAGAGGAAAGUGGAAUUCCCGGUGUAGCGGUGGAAUGCGCAGAUAUUGGGAAGAACACCGGUGGCGAAGGCGGCUUUCUGGGCCGUAACCGACGCUGAGGCGCGAAAGCUAGGGGAGCAAACAGGAUUAGAUACCCUGGUAGUCCUAGCCGUAAACGAUGGGCACUAGGUGUGGGGAGAUCACUCUUUCCGUGCCGCAGCUAACGCAUUAAGUGCCCCGCCUGGGGAGUACGACCGCAAGGUUAAAACUCAAAGGAAUUGACGG